rnacentral:rRNA from 1 species
UACGUAGGGGGCAAGCGUUGUCCGGAUUUAUUGGGCGUAAAGAGCGUGUAGGCGGCCAUGCAGGUCCGUUGUGAAAACUGGAGGCUUAACCUCCAGACGUCGAUGGAAACCGUAUGGCUAGAGUCCGGAAGAGGAGAGUGGAAUUCCUGGUGUAGCGGUGAAAUGCGCAGAUAUCAGGAAGAACACCCGUGGCGAAGGCGGCUCACUGGACCGGAACUGACGCUGAGGCGCGAAAGCGUGGGGAGCAAACAGG